AAUAGCCGACUAUGCGGGCAAUUAAACGUAUAGACGCACUUGCGCUGACCGACAGCGGCGUUAAAAAUAAAAGGGAUAUUUAGUGCGGGGAAGGAUA
rnacentral:ncRNA from 1 species